rnacentral:misc_RNA from 1 species
CUAAAAAUGAUCAGAAACCUCACGUGAUAUCCUUGUUGUCAUAGUCUCAGACAUACAAAUAAUGAAAUCAACAUCAACACCAACAAUAUUCCUUUCCACUACAUUGUAAUUUUUCCCUGGACAUUGUAAUCAAGUUAGUGAAUGACCAUGUCCCCACGCCAGCUAUCAAUGUGACCUGAUCUAACUAGAUCCAACAAUGAUAUUA